rnacentral:rRNA from 1 species
GGCCUACACAUGCAAGUCGAACGGUAACAGAGAAGAGCUUGCUCUUUUGCUGACGAGUGGCGCACGGGUGCGUAACGCGUAUACAAUCUACCUUUUACAAGGGGAUAGCCUUUAGAAAUGAAGAUUAAUAUCCUAUAGUAAGUAGUUUUGGCAUCAAGACAACUUUAAAGCUUCGGCGGUAAAAGAUGAGUAUGCGUUCUAUUAGCUAGAUGGUGUGGUAACGGCACACCAUGGCAACGAUAGAUAGGGGCCCUGAGAGGGGGAUCCCCCACACUGGUACUGAGACACGGACCAGACUCCUACGGGAGGCAGCAGUGAGGAAUAUUGGACAAUGGGCGAGAGCCUGAUCCAGCCAUGCCGCGUGCAGGAAGACUGCCCUAUGGGUUGUAAACUGCUUUUAUACAGGAAGAAACCUUUUCACGUGUGAAAAGCUGACGGUACUGUAAGAAUAAGGAUCGGCUAACUCCGUGCCAGCAGCCGCGGUAAUACGGAGGAUCCAAGCGUUAUCCGGAAUCAUUGGGUUUAAAGGGUCCGUAGGUGGAUAAUUAAGUCAGAGGUGAAAGUUUGCAGCUCAACUGUAAAAUUGCCUUUGAUACUGGUUAUCUUGAAUUAUUGUGAAGUGGUUAGAAUAUGUAGUGUAGCGGUGAAAUGCAUAGAUAUUACAUAGAAUACCAAUUGCGAAGGCAGAUCACUAACAAUAUAUUGACACUGAUGGACGAAAGCGUGGGGAGCGAACAGGAUUAGAUACCCUGGUAGUCCACGCCGUAAACGAUGGUCACUAGCUGUUCGAACUUCGGUUUGAGUGGCUAAGAGAAAUUGAUAAGUGACCCACCUGGGGAGUACGUUCGCAAGAAUGAAACUCAAAGGAAUUGACGGGGGCCCGCACAAGCGGUGGAGCAU